rnacentral:lncRNA from 1 species
AAAAAUCAAACCUAUCUGAAGUUGGGGAACCCAGAGAAUUUAAAAGCCGGAAGCUCACUGUUGGAAUCACAAGUUUCUUGUGUGACAAGCAUCGUUCCUACAGCAUCGGGUGGACAGAGUUUCGAGCAUUUCAACUGGAACUUCAAUGAUGGACAAAACACACUCUGGUGGAGAUAAAUAUGACUAGUCACCGUUCCUGGAUAGCAUUAAAGCUUUAAUGUAACAAUGUUGAUGUGAGCAAAUUUGGAAACAACACCUCUGUAUUUAAACGACACCGGAGACUUUUGCGAAUGCACAACUGAUGCAGUCGGAUUUCUUUGACGGUUUGUACUCCUAAUUUUCUGGUUGAAUCGAGGGUGACUGAGAGUUUCGUGUAAGUAACUUUGCUUGGAUGCUCAUGAAUCGUGAUAUGGUCAAUAGGUUAAAGAAAAAUACAAGCUUGAAUAUGCUUACUUGGGGUCAUGACACAACUGGGGGGAUUUGAGUACUAAAAAUGGGAUCACUGAGUUAUGAGUGCAUAUCUGUUCAAAUUUUUGUUUUGCUGGUGAAUGAGACGGAGGCGGCCUAGAAAGCUCAACAUAUCGGACGUUGAUAGGUACUUACAAUUACGGACAUGUUAUUCGUAAUAGGUAUAUCGGAAUAUAUGUAGUUGGUAUAAGAGCAUUUUCAGUGGAGUCCCUAUAUAGAGACAAUCAACGUAUAAAAUGAGCAUACAACAAAUAUAAGGACAAAAUGAAUCUCUAAUGGAUCGGAAAGUGAGUCCCUAAAGUAUAGAGACUUGCCGGAUAUUUGGUAUAUGUACCCACAUAUAGGGACUAAAAUGGUGAACCCAAUAGAACAAUUUAAGUGAAAAAGUAGGCAUGGGUCCCUGUCACAUGGCCUUGUCUUUUCUUUCUUUCUUUUCAAUCGUUUCAAUGGAGUGUCCAUAUUGAUUCUUGCUUUUUAGAUUCUUUUACCAUUGAAAGAUCAACGGUUCCAAUUAAAUAACCGUUUUAAUUUAGGUUACUCUCUCAUGUUGGUUUCCAAUUUUUUUUACUCUUUUCAUAUUGCUUCGCUUAAGCAAGUGGUCUCGGUUUCGAACCCUUGUGGAUGCAGAAAACUUUCUUGGAAGAGGAGAAACCUAAAAAAACAAUUUCAAUUUGGGCUACUCUCUCGUGUUGUUCUCUCAUCAUUCUUAUAAAUACCAAAUUAUCUAACUAAAACUUACCACAACUUCAUCUCUUAUACUUAGUUCACUCGUCGUACUCAAUUCACUCAUUCUAGUUACGUUUUUGUGAAGAAGAAAAAUUGGUGUCAGAAUUUGAUUUUUUAUUUUAUUUUUGGUUAAAAUGUUCAAAAAAAUAUAUUAUGAGAAUGUAAUGUUAAAUUAAUUAAAAAAAUAUGCACCUAAUCAAACUAUCACAUAAAAUUGUAAAAAAAACUCAAAUUUAGAUAUUCUACUAUGAGGACUCUCCCAUUAGAGGUAAUAUUCCUUUAGGGACACAACGAUUCCCUUUAAGUCUUUAAAUGAGUACUCAAGGGUGGUGGUGGGAGUCCUUAAACAGGGACUCCCAUUAAAGAUGCUCUAAGUACUUGUGAUGAGAUGCCAAGUAUCGGUACUCUCGAUUAGGGACAUUUUAUAGGUAUAUCAGAAAAUAUGUGUCGCUGGUAAUUUGUAUAUGUACUUCCAAUUAGGGACACCUAAUAGUAAUAGUGUUUCUUUGAGGGUGUCUCUUUUCUGCUGUAGUAGACAUAAGUUGCCAUGAAAGUUUGGCUUCAGCGCAAAGAAGUAUAUGUUUUUUGCAGCGUGGUCUGUGGGUUAUUGGUGUUUUGGAGUUCAUAUUUUCAUGGAGCUUACUAUGGUUUCUAUGCUUUCCUUUCAUAUAACUUUGACUUUCCGGUCUUUGAAUCUUCUUUUAGGGGUUUUUUUUUUUUUUUUUUUUUAAGGGGAACAAUUGGUGGCAAGCCACAGUUAUCCACCCCUUCCGGGAGCUGGGAAAUAUUCUUUUAGUUUCUCCCCUUUUCGUUUGCAGAGUUGAGGUGGAAGGUUAGGUUUGUUUUGAAGUUUGUGCUGUUUUUUUUUCAAGGAAGACGUUUGUGCUGUUUACCUCUCUUCUUUUUUAUGUAUUAUUUUCAAAUGAAAAAAAAAAAUCAUAUCAUAUCAUAUCAUAUUAGGUUUCUCCUUGAAAUUUCUUGCUCUAUCAAGAAAUCGUGUUGAUAUGAACCCUCUUUCAAAGAAUAGCUCCAGAACCCAAAUUCUUGACAUAUUUUUACGUCCGAUGCGCUAUCUUUUUCUCUUGAUCAUAUGUAAUAGGUGUUCACUUUGUUUAUCUCAAUUGUAUGCAGUUGUAACUUAGGAUCUGGCGAAUAUCAAACCUAUCUGAAGUUGGGGAACCCAGAGAAUUUAAAAGCCGGAAGCUUGUCCUACAGCAUCGGGUGGACAGAGUUUCAAGCAUUCCAACUGGGACUUCAAUGAUGGACAAAACACACACUCUGGUGGAGAUAAAUAUGACUAGUCACCGUUCCUGGAUAGCAUUAAAGCUUUAAUGUAACAAUGUUGGUGUGAGCAAAUUUGGAAACAACACCUCUGUAUUUAAACGACACCGGAGACCUUUGCGAAUGCAGAAGUGUUGCAGUCGGAUUUCUUUGACGGUUUGUACUCCUAAUUUACUGGUUGAAUCGAAGGUGAC